GGGAUAGUAGCAGUGAGGAUGAGCAGAGGUCACUCUCGUCACCUUCUUGGUUUUGAGGACGAGACACACACACAGAGACAGAGAGAGAGAGAGAGUGCAAAGCAAGGCAAGGCAAGAGGAGUAAGAAGGUCAUUAUGCAAUCUUUCUCGGACUCAGCUCUCUAAUUCUUAAGAUCAGCAGUCUCAAAGUACCAUCUGUGUACUACUGGGAGCUCCUAAGACACUUUCAAGAGCCACAGCAAAAGAGAUGAAAUUCUGCCUGAACUAUUAUCCUCCAUUUACAGUUAAGUAAACUGAUGUCCUGGGAAAUGAGGCACUUUAGUUUUAAAAACUGCUAAAGUCUACUGCUACAUCAUGCAGCUAGCCUGGGCCCUGCUUUGCUUGUGUCAGUCAGCUCUGAAGAAGUCUCUGUCCUGUAAUUUAGACUGUAUGUCAUUAAGUGGGAUUAGUUCAGGGAAAUUCACAGGAAUAAUAAAAGACAGAAAACAUGAGGAUGAUGGGCCCCACCCCAGGACUGAAAAUGUGUGGAAACAUCAAGGGAAUAAAAGUGUGUCAGUUUCGGUUCUGGACUCCACAUUUUGCUAGGGACAUUACCAACUAUCCAGAAGACAGAGAUGGGAAAUGUAAAGGGGCUGCAAAAAAGCCAUGUUACAUAAAGAACCGUGAAAGAAACUGGAAAUAAUUUCCUUAGAGGACAGAAGAUUCCUAGGAAAUAAGACAAUGAACAAUGAAUGUUGGAGAAUGUCCUUUCCUGCCUCUUAAUCAUUCUGAAUCUAAACUAAUGAUAAACUUCAAUCAGGACAUGAAGAAAAUUGCUAAUUCCCUUCAGUUAAAUAACAGUUUAGAUUAAACCAGCAAGAACUUUUGCUCUUUAAUAAAAUGCAAAGUUACC
rnacentral:lncRNA from 1 species